UACGAAGGGGGCUAGCGUUGCUCGGAAUCACUGGGCGUAAAGGGUGCGUAGGCGGGUCUUUAAGUCAGGGGUGAAAUCCUGGAGCUCAACUCCAGAACUGCCUUUGAUACUGAGGAUCUUGAGUUCGGGAGAGGUGAGUGGAACUGGCGAGUGUAGAGGUGAAAUUCGUAGAUAUUCGCAAGAACACCAGUGGCGAAGGCGGCUAACUGGUCCGGUUCUGACGCUGAGGCGCGAAAGCGUGGGGAGCAAACAGG
rnacentral:rRNA from 1 species